CUCUCUCUCUCUCCUCUCUAUGAGUGUGAGCCAGAAAAUGAAGAAGAAAGUCUGCACGUUGGCUGUUGUAUUUGCUCUACUUGCUCUCCAUCAAUUAUCGGAGUCUCGUCCGUUUCGUCUCACGUCGCACGAACAAGGAAAGGAGAAGAAUGGUUGGGCUUGGGCUACGCAAACAGACAAUCCAUCCGACAUGACCCAAGAGUUCUCCCACCUGAUGGGAGAAGAGAGAUGCGAUGAGAGUGAGAGAGAUGAAAAAUGCGUGAAGAGACGGAUGAUGACAGAAGCCCACUUGGAUUACAUUUACACCCAAACCCACAAGCCUAAGCCUUGAAAUAAAAACCGGUUUAGAUCUCAUUUCCGGUUUACUACCGGUCUAAUUCUCCGGUCAUCCCUUGAAAAAAAAUAUAGUAUGGAACGUCUUUAUCAUGUAUGGUACAUGCGUAAAUGCUGUUAGCACUUGGAAUAAGAGAGACCAAGGACAGGUUAAGAUCUUGCAGUAGAAGAAUAUAACUCCAAAACAAGAACAAGAAUGACAGCAAUGUAUCAAGGUUUGUAGUUGAAAUCAUACAAGGAUCUUCGUACAUAUA